GGGGGGGGGCUCGACCACUGAGCUGCCAAGUUCUACUGACUCAGCCUCUGGAGUGCUGUUCAGCUCUGUGGCCAGCACAGAGUCUGGCACAUGGCCAGCGCUAGUUCAUUCCUCUGUUGGCGAAGCCAGCGCCACCUCACUUCCUUGCCAUGAGACAACCGUCAAGCCUUCUGACUGUUAGAAGGAAAGCAGCAGCCGGAGACCUGCAAGGCAGAAGCAGGAAGGCGCCAGAAUUCUGGGAGUGACAGGCUCUUACCCAGAAAGUCCGUGUCCCCAAUACGGACACCGCCCAUGCAGAGCUCCUUCAAGCACACACCGCACACCUGCUCCCCCUCUGCAGGUGGCCCACAAUUGUGUCUAAGAAGGAAUAAGACGACAGAAAACAGACCCGGCUCCAGCCUAGCCUUGAAAACACGCACGAUUUAGCGGUAGCCAGGCUUUCUCAAUGGAUUCCACAGACUCCCUCCAGCAGUGCUGGGCUGGUAAACGACUGACAGCCAGAACCCUGGAGAACACCUUUGCGCUGGACCUGCCUUAGUGACGUUUUAUUAACAUUUUCUCCAUGACUUUCUCGAGACAAAACGAUGAAUCCAGCCUGAUUUGUAGCCUUUGUCAAUUGCUGUGGUGUAACUGCUCACACAUUGAGCUGUCGGAAUCAGCACAAACUGGCUCGACAUUUCCCCGAGAGGCGCUUAUAUUCCAUCCAAACUGGGGUACGAGCUGUUCCCCGCAUGUGACCUUCAUUUCCUGCCUCGGAUGACUCAGGAAGUGGAGAGAGCAUCAUUCACUCAGAGCCAAAACUUUCAAGACAUCAUCAACAGAAUUCAGUUCCGUGAGGAGAGGAAAGGAGACUGAAAUCCUACUUUGUUCACAUUUGUCCUUAGGGCUGACCAUGCUCUUCGAGGCUACACGGGCUCUGACUUUUUGGGGCAUGUUCCACCGCUGCUCCUUUUGCUCCCAGAGUAACCAUUUGCAAUGGAAGGUAGCUUACACAGGUUGGCUACUUCUACCCAGGAUUAGAGUGUUGUUCAGCUCUUUUUUUUUCCUUUGGGAAACACAUAGACUGACGGAGUUGAGUCCACAACGCUAGAAUGCAAAUGGACGCUAGAGACAGAUAGACAGACAGAGGCACAUGAUCCAUUCACAGAGCCUGCAUUUGUAUUCUCCAACAUCAGUCACAAAAGAAGCAGUUAGAGGCCGUUGUCAUCUUUUCCUGUAGGUUUUUAGCAUGGGCAGUGUACCAGGAGGAAGUUCAGGAAACAUACUGGGUCAAGAAUUCUUUUGUAAUAUCUUUCACCACAAAGUAUAUCCGAACUUCUUCCUUUUGUCCUCAGACGUUGGUUCAAAACAAAAACAUACACACACACCAAAAAAACCAACUAACCUGGGAAAUUUUACCUCCAUGUUUUUAGUGCUUUUGGGCAUCUUUUCCUUAUAUUUUCCCUUCUUUCCUCCCCUCAUUUUUUCCUCCUUGUUCCCUUUCUCCAUCUUUCCCUCCCUCCCUCUUUCUUUCCUCCCAAAGACUUCCCAUGACUUCAUAAUUAGGGAGAACAACACUGGGAUGGAUUUUUUCAGGAUGCAUCUCAUUAUGACAAGAGAGGAAAAAAAAUAAUUCUAUGUUCAUCAAGCCUGACAUCCUUCUUUCCUAGUGAUCUGGUCAGGAUUGUGAUAUUCUGUGACUUUAUCCCUUCUAGGGGAAAAUGCUCUUCUUGCCCAAUACCAACAACAAUAACACUAAUGUUCUAUUAAAGGGUCAGAGAAUCUCA